GAUGAACGCUGGCGGCGUGCCUAAUACAUGCAAGUCGAGCGAAUGGAUUAAGAGCUUGCUCUUAUGAAGUUAGCGGCGGACGGGCGAGUAACACGUGGGUAACCUGCCCAUAAGACUGGGAUAACUCCGGGAAACCGGGGCUAAUACCGGAUAACAUUUUGAACCGCAUGGUUCGAAAUUGAAAGGCGGCUUCGGCUGUCACUUAUGGAUGGACCCGCGUCGCAUUAGCUAGUUGGUGAGGUAACGGCUCACCAAGGCAACGAUGCGUAGCCGACGUGGGAGGGUCAUCGGCCACACUGGGACGGGGGCACGGCCCAGGCUCCUACAGGAGGCAGCAGUAGGGAAUCUUCCGCAAUGGACGAAAGUCUGACGGAGCAACGCCGCGUGAGUGAUGAAGGCUUUCGGGUCGUAAAACUCUGUUGUUAGGGAAGAACAAGUGCUAGUUGAAUAAGCUGGCACCUUGACGGUACCUAACCAGAAAGCCACGGCUAACUACGUGCCAGCCGCCGCAGUAA
rnacentral:rRNA from 1 species